AGCUUAGCUUCAUUCUACAGAACCACACUCUCAUUUACAAAACUUACACAGAUCUAUCUCUCAUUAACAUAUAAAAGGCACACUUCCAACCAUAUUUACACAUUGCAAACGUUAUACAAAAUCCGGUUUUAUCAGAUUAAUUACCUCGUAGCAGCUUUAAUCUACAUAGACUCACUCAUUGCCAUCAUAAAGUCACAAUCUUACAGUCAUAUACUCUUUUGCUAUGUGUCUGAGGUCAGCUAAUGGUCCUGAGUUUCUUGAAACCUCACUCCCAACCCAUCAAAGUACUCCACACUUGUUCCUCUAUCUUGCUUCUCGAGACCGGUAAGCUGUCUUCUUCGUUGAUCAACACUUUGUACACCUCCCAUUCUCUGUCUCCCGUCAAGUGCCUUCCAAUCUCAGCCUACUAUGUUUUCACAAUCAGUAUAUUUUCUGGUAUAGCCGUAUAGUUGAUCUUCAUCACUUCAAGCUCAUUUUAUCCCAUAUUUUCACACUUUAUCAAGUCCUUCGUGGCUGUCAUAUCUAUACGGGGUUAGCUGAAUUUGCCGUAUUUUCUUAGAAACAUGUGCAUAAUAUAGAAAAUUGUAUCAUGUAUGUAGUAAUUUGAAACAUGUAUAGUUCUUGGCAUUUUGCAGUGAGGUAGCAAGAAAAUCAAAUUGUAGGGUCACUGAUUCCCUUUACUGAGUGUAGUAGUCAAUACUCAAUAGUGACUAAGACUUUGGUGACGCUAUAUUACUAACCAUAAUGAUAUAAUCUCAGGACACCUCAUUUCAAUAAUAAUCCAUACGAGCUUUAUAUACUUAUAAAAAAGUGUAACUAGUUACAAAUACAUAAUAUAUUUAUUAAUUGUUAGAGAAAUACAACCCAGCGUAAUGAUAUAUAGGUUUUACAUGAAAUUUCUUGUAAGCAUGUUGCAUGAUCGUUUGGUAAUAUCAGUCGACAACGACCAAUAUUAUGAUAAUACGUACAUCUUGUAAACAUUUUCGGUGAAGAGGUUAUCGUCCGGAUGUACACUGUUUUAUCCCUCAUUGGCUAAUGUUUUCGUUAUGUUCCGAAACUGUGGCAUAUUUGUUCUUUGUGUUUCACAUGCUAAGUUCUAAAACCAGAAUCUUUUUCGGUUUCGCAUUGUAUAUUCAAAAUUUUUGGCUAGAUGGACAAGGAUGGGCAGAAGCACGUGAACACCAAGCACCGUUUCUAGCCUCUUCCUUAGCAUUCGUUCGUUCAUGUAUUAUUAAUCAUGAAAUUUUGAAAUUUAGUUCCAUAAAUGUUUCUGUGUUCGAAAUUAUAGAUUGAUGAUUCGAAACAUCGCAAGUCUUAUUGUUUUCAUAUAUAUUGUGGACUGUGGUCUGCGGAGACUGUGUCCUUCCAGUGUGAUCAAUACUUUCUACAAUUAGGUUAAAGGAUAUCCUGAAGAUUAUAUUCGCCAUGUAGAUUCAUUUUCUCAUCUACUUUUGUAAUAAGCAUAUAAUCAUCUUCUCAAAAGAAAGCAUGCAAUAAUUGAAGUUAGAAUAGUGGUCGAUGACUCUACUGUCUACUACACUAUACACGUACAUUUUCUUGUCAAUUAUAAUGUAAAAAGUACUCGAUUUCCAUGUGCAGUCAUAUGGGAUUCUUACCUAACACCAUCUCCAACCCACUUCUAUUUUUAUCUUUAUAUUUUCCUCUAAAAUAGAAAAAUUCUAUUAUAAAAGUGGAUUUGCUCCAAUGUAUGACUCUAUAAUAGAGUUCCUCUAUUUAUAGGAGAAAAUAUAGAAAUUUGCUAUUUUCAUCUCUAAAUAUAGAGGUAAAAAGUAGGAUUCCUCUAUAUUUUCCUCUAAAAUAGAGGAACUCUAUUAUAGAGUCAUACAUUGGAGCAAAAACACAUCUAUAAUAGAAAUCUCUAUUUUAGAGAAAAAUAUAGAAGCAUACAUUGGAGAUGCUCUAAUAGUUGAAUCAAAGUAAAUAUAGCUGAAUUUAAAACAUAAAAUAAAGACAAUGUUCCAAAAAAAAACACGUAAAUGCAUCUUCUUAAAAUAGUAACAAUCCUCGCAUGUGUUGUCCAUGUCAUGAACGUGGGUCCAUAUGUCAUGAAUAGGAGUUUUAUUGUGGACGUAUUGGUUAAAACAUUUUGUCUUCAUAAUGAUUUUGAAUCCAAUAAAUGUAGUUUUAAUCAUAGGCCCGCACUAAUAGAACCUGAAUUGACUGUCUUCCCAAAAUAGUUUAUCGAGAUAUUUUUUUCUCUCUUAGAUAUUGCUUUUACAGAACAUUAAUUUUAUAUUGUUUUCUGAUGUUUUAUUUAAUAUUUAUUUUAAUUUAUAAGGUUUAGUUAUAUAUUAUAUAUAUUAUUGUUUUAGUGAUUAUUCUGCUUUACUCCACUUCGUUGUCGUAAUUAACUAAAUUUCUUAAUAAAAUUGUUACUGUUAGUUAGUGAGGUUAUGCUAUGUUUCUAUUUUUUAUUUUUUUGGUAUGAAGCUAUGUUUCUAUUUUGACAGUGUAGAGUUGUUGAUCUAUUUAUUUUAUUUUUAAGUCAUGUAGUUUUAUUUAGUAUCUAAUAUAAUUUAUAUUGUAUCUUUUGUUUAGGCCGUAUAACUAUAUUUUUCAUAUCAGUUGUGGAUUUAUGUUUAAAUAUUCUUAUAAGUUCAGGACAUAAACUUAUAUUAACGUAAGACUACUGAUCCCAUAAAACAUAUUUUUUCAUCAUUGUUCUUAUAAUUAUUAUUUUAUUUCUAUUUUUUUUUCUAUUUUAUUUUUCGAACUAUUACUUUUAAUUUUUUUUUUGACUAUCUAUUAAUUCUUUUUGUAAUUGUUUUCUAAAAUAUGUUGUUAAUUUUAAUUAUAAGUCUUUCCCUCAUCAUGCGUUUUAACUACGGAAGAAUUGCCACUCUCACUAUUGGGCUUAGACACAGCCCAUUUAACAGUAACAAAAAGUUUCCUCAAAGACCAUUUUCCUUUAUAUAUAUGACAAAGAUCUCAGCACAAUACAAGUGCAAAGACUUAGCUUAGCUUCAUUCUACAGAACCACACUCUCAUUUACAAAACUUACACAGAUCUAUCUCUCAUUAACAUAUAAAAGGCACACUUCCAACCAUAUUUACACAUUGCAAACGUUAUACAAAAUCCGGUUUUAUCAGAUUAAUUACCUCGUAGCAGCUUUAAUCUACAUAGACUCACUCAUUGCCAUCAUAAAGUCACAAUCUUACAGUCAUAUACUCUUUUGCUAUGUGUCUGAGGUCAGCUAAUGGUCCUGAGUUUCUUGAAACCUCACUCCCAACCCAUCAAAGUACUCCACACUUGUUCCUCUAUCUUGCUUCUCGAGACCGGUAAGCUGUCUUCUUCGUUGAUCAACACUUUGU
rnacentral:lncRNA from 1 species